UCUCUGACUGUUAGCGGGGACGGGUGAGUAACACGUGGAUAACCUCACCUAUAAGCACUGGGAUAACUUCGGGAAACCGGCAGCUAAUACCGGAUCAAUAUUUUGAACCGCAUGGUUCAAAAGUAAAAGACGGUCUUGCUGUCACUUAUAGAUGGAUCCGCGCUGCAUUAGCUAGUUGGUACAGGUAACCGGCUUACCAAGGCAACGAUGCAUAGCCGACCUUGAGAGGGUGAUCGCCACACUGGAACUGAGACACGGUCCAGACUCCUACGGGAGGCAGCAGUAGGGAAUCUUCCGCAAUGGGCGAAAGCCUGACGGAGCAACGCCGCGUGAGUGAUGAAGAUCUUCGGAUCGUAAAACUCUGUUAUUAGGGAAGAACAUAUGUGUAAGUAACUGUGCACAUCUUGACGGUACCUAAUCAGAAAGCCACGGCUAACUACGUGCCAGCAGCCGCGGUAAUACGUAGGUGGCAAGCGUUAUCCGGAAUUAUUGGGCGUAAAGCGCGCGUAGGCGGUUUUUUAAGUCUGAUGUGAAAGCCCACGGCUCAACCGUGGAGGGUCAUUGGAAACUGGAAAACUUGAGUGCAGGAGAGGAAAGUGGAAUUCCAUGUGUAGCGGUGAAAUGCGCAGAGAUAUGGAGGAACACCAGUGGCGAAGGCGACUUUCUGGUCUGUAACUGACGCUGAUGUGCGAAAGCGUGGGGAUCAAACAGGAUUAGAUACCCUGGUAGUCCACGCCGUAAACGAUGAGUGCUAAGUGUUAGGGGGUUUCCGCCCCUUAGUGCUGCAGCUAACGCAUUAAGCACUCCGCCUGAGGGAGUACGACCGCAAGU
rnacentral:rRNA from 1 species